GAUGAAGAACGUAGCGAAAUGCGAUAAUUAAUGUGAAUUGCAGAAUUCCGUGAAUCAUCGAAUCUUUGAACGCACAUUGCGCCCGCUAGUAUUCUGGCGGGCAUGCCUGUCUGAGCGUCAUUUCAACCCUCGCCCCCGGCUUUUGCUGGGAGCGGUGUUGGGGAUCGGCCGCCCGUCACUGGGAGGCCGGCCCCGAAAUAGAGUGGCGACCACGCCGUGUGCUCCUCUGCGUAGUAGUAAAUCACCUCGCAGGCGGACAGCGGUGCGGCCUGCCGUAAAACCCCCAACUCUUUCUGGUUGACCUCAGAUCAGGUAGGAAUACCCGCUGAACUUAAGCAUAUCAAUAAGCGGAGGA
rnacentral:misc_RNA from 1 species